UGGGGGAGUAUUGCACAAUGGAGGAAACUCUGAUGCAGCGACGCCGCGUGAGUGAAGAAGUAUUUCGGUAUGUAAAGCUCUAUCAGCAGGGAAGAUAAUGACAGUACCUGACUAAGAAGCCCCGGCUAACUACGUGCCAGCAGCCGCGGUAAUACGUAGGGAGCAAGCGUUAUCCGGAUUUACUGGGUGUAAAGGGUGCGCAGGUGGCGUGGCAAGUCAGAAGUGAAAAACCCGGGGCUCAACCCGCGGACUGCUUUUGAAACUGUCAUGCUGGAGUCCAGGAGAGGUAAGCGGAAUUCCUAGUGUAGCGGUGAAAUGCGUAGAUAUUAGGAGGAACACCAGUGGCGAAGGCGGCUUACUGGACUGGUACUGACACUGAGGCACGAAAGCGUGGGGAGCAAACAGGAUUAGAUACCCUGGUAGU
rnacentral:rRNA from 1 species